GAUCUACUGGACGGGGCCCCCCUCCCCCGGCGCGACUGUCGACCGGGGCGGACUGUCCUCAGUGCGCCCCAACUGCGUCGCGCCGCCGGGCUGGGGACGGCCUGCGACGGGCGCCAGGGGUCUGCGGCGAAGUCGGCUACCCACC
rnacentral:rRNA from 1 species